AAUACUACUUUAAGAAAGAGUUUGCUUAUAUAUUGAAUGAAUUAUAUUCUAUUCCUCUCUCACUCUCUCCCUGUCGCUGCUCGCUCUCUGAUACUUCUCUCUCUCUCUCUCUCUCUCUCUCUCUCUCUCUCUCUCUCUCUCUCUAGAUCGAGAUGGCUGACCCGAUCGCUGAAGACUUUGAUCCGCCACAGAAACCCAAGAGAAACAAAUUCGCCAUUGCCUGCUCCCUUAUGGCUUGCACGACAUCAAUUUUACUGGGCUACGAUAUUGGUGUGAUGAGUGGGGCGAACCUCUUCAUCCAAGAUGACCUCAAAAUCAACGACGUCCAGAUUCAAAUACUUACCGGCACAUUGAACAUCUAUUCUGUCCUCGGCUCCGCCUUGGCCGGCAGAACCUCCGAUUGGAUCGGGCGCCGGUACACCGCCUUCCUCUCCGGAGCCAUCUUCUCGGUCGGAGCUAUCCUCAUGGGCGUCGCCCAGGGCUACACCUUCCUUAUGUUCGGCCGGUUCGUUGCUGGAAUCGGUGUUGGCUACGGUCUCAUGAUUUCUCCGGUCUACACCGCCGAGAUCGCUCCGACUUUGUCCCGUGGCUUCCUCACAUCUUUCCCUGAGGUGUUCGUCAAUAUUGGCAUAUUAUUGGGGUAUGUCUCCAACUACGCCUUCUCCAAGCUCCCAGCUCACCUCUAUUGGAGGUUCAUGCUCGGCAUCGGCGCCCUUCCAGCCAUUAUUCUCGCCAUCGGCGUCUUAGCCGUGCCAGAGUCGCCGCGUUGGCUCGUCAUGCAGGGGCGACUUGGGGACGCCAAGCGCGUCCUCGACAAAACCUCAGCCUCCAAGGAAGAGGCCCAGUUGAGGCUAGACGACAUCAAAGAAGCCGCAGGCAUCGCCAAAGAGCUAGACGACGACGUUGUUCCGGUCUCGAAGAAAAGCCAUGGUGAAGGCGUAUGGAAAGACUUGAUCUUGCACCCGACGCCAGCCGUGCGCCACAUUUUGAUCGCAGCCCUCGGCAUCCACUUCUUCGAACAAGCUUCGGGCAUAGACUCUGUCGUCCUGUACAGCCCCAGGAUCUUCGAGAAGGCGGGGCUCAAAUCUUACGACCAGAGGCUCCUUGCAACCGUGGGCGUUGGAUUUGUCAAGACCAUUGCCAUCUUGGUCGCCACGUUUUUCCUUGAUCGGUUCGGGCGGCGCUGGUUGCUUUUGUCCAGCGUGGCUGGGAUGAUAUUUUCGCUCGUAUGCCUCGGGGUGGGUCUCACGAUCAUCGAUCAUCACCGCGACACGGUCCCGUGGGCCAUCGCAUUGUGCAUCACCAUGGUGGUUGGGGCCCAUAACAUGGGUUUAUAGCUCUGAGAUCUUCCCGCUGAAGCUACGCGCGCAAGGAGUUAGUAUGGGAGUGGCCGUGAACAGGGCGACAAGUGGCGUCAUAUCCAUGACUUUUCUCUCACUAUACAAGACCAUUACGAUUGGUGGGGCCUUCUUUCUCUACGCAGGGAUUGCUGCGUUGAGUUGGGUCUUCUUUUAUAUGUUGCUCCCCGAAACCAGGGGAAGAACCCUUGAAGAGACGGAGGUGCUGUUUGGUAAAUAUCACAGGUGGAAAAAGGCGAAUGCCGUGCUCAGGCAGAGCAAGCAAGGCGAUGGUGACGAAAACAAAAGUCAAGUCAACUAGGAUUUAAAGUCCAGUCCACUAGGGUUUACUAGGGAUUUUUAUUAUGACUAGUAGGAUUUAAAUACUCUUCUUUUUAUUUUAGUAAAAAUGUUUUCUAUGUAAUGGAGAAAAUAAAUUUUAUAUCUUUUUAUUCGAAAGGA